GUGGGGAAUAUUGCACAAUGGGCGAAAGCCUGAUGCAGCAAUGCCGCGUGAGGGACGACGGCCUUCGGGUUGUAAACCUCUUUUAGCAGGGAAGAAGCGAAAGUGACGGUACCUGCAGAAAAAGCACCGGCUAACUACGUGCCAGCAGCCGCGGUAAUACGUAGGGUGCAAGCGUUGUCCGGAAUUAUUGGGCGUAAAGAGCUCGUAGGCGGUUUGUCGCGUCUGCUGUGAAAACCCGAGGCUCAACCUCGGGCCUGCAGUGGGUACGGGCAGACUAGAGUGCGGUAGGGGAGAUUGGAAUUCCUGGUGUAGCGGUGGAAUGCGCAGAUAUCAGGAGGAACACCGAUGGCGAAGGCAGAUAUCUGGGCCGUAACUGACGCUGAGGAGCGAAAGCGUGGGGAGCGAACAGGAUUAGAUACCCUAGUAGUCC
rnacentral:rRNA from 1 species